GUAGGUGAACCUGCUGCUGGAUCAUUAC
rnacentral:rRNA from 5 species